rnacentral:rRNA from 1 species
UACGUAGGUGGCAAGCGUUGUCCGGAAUUAUUGGGCGUAAAGAGCUCGUAGGCGGUUUGUCGCGUCUGCUGUGAAAACGCGAGGCUCAACCUCGCGCCUGCAGUGGGUACGGGCAGACUAGAGUGCGGUAGGUGAGAUUGGAAUUCCUGGUGUAGCGGUGGAAUGCGCAGAUAUCAGGAGGAACACCGGUGGCGAAGGCGGGUCUCUGGGCCACUACUGACGCUGAGAAGCGAAAGCAUGGGGAGCGAACAGG